AUUGAACGCUGGCGGCAUGCCUUACACAUGCAAGUCGAACGGCAGCACGGGUGCUUGCACCUGGUGGCGAGUGGCGAACGGGUGAGUAAUACAUCGGAACGUACCUUAUCGUGGGGGAUAACGCAGCGAAAGCUGUGCUAAUACCGCAUACGCCCUGAGGGGGAAAGCGGGGGAUCGCAAGACCUCGCGCGUUUAGAGCGGCCGAUGCCUGACUAGCUUGUUGGUGGGGUAAAAGCCCACCAAGGCGACGAUCAGUAGCUGGUCUGAGAGGACGAUCAGCCACACUGGGACUGAGACACGGCCCAGACUCCUACGGGAGGCAGCAGUGGGGAAUUUUGGACAAUGGGGGCAACCCUGAUCCAGCAAUGCCGCGUGAGUGAAGAAGGCCUUCGGGUUGUAAAGCUCUUUUGUCAGGGAAGAAACACCGGCUCUAACACAGUCUGGGAAUGACGGUACCUGAAGAAUAAGCACCGGCUAACUACGUGCCAGCCGCCGCCGUAA
rnacentral:rRNA from 1 species